ACGCAUCUAUUUGACAGACCUGGAGCAAACAGCCGUUGCUUCUCUGGUUCUUGCUGAGAUGCGACAGUGAUGGGUUCCUUGCGCUUUCUGCCUGCCGGCCCUCGUGGCAGCCCGGAUUGAAUAAAGGAGCACAAAC
rnacentral:snoRNA from 1 species